UGUGCCGGCGCGUGGAGCCCUGCGGAGCGGGGCUGCAGGUGAUCUUUGCUUGUGAGAGCAGCGCUUCCCAGCCCAUGGCCUCUGCUAUGAGGGCUGCUGUGUCGUGACACCAGGCGUCUCGCGUGCCCUGGAGAUGCGAGACGUGCCCUGGGCAGCAGGAGGCUCACGUCU